rnacentral:snoRNA from 17 species
GUGAUACGAAAUUUAUAGCCUUCUAUUCACUGUGCCAUCUUAGUAUCCGUAGAUGAUCAGAGGGGAAAAGAACGGCUAGACUAAUAUUGGCGCGAGCGUCCUCAUACUGUCCGAAUCGAAUAGCAUUGUCUGGGUUCGGUCGGUAACUGCGCAAGCGCUACAAAC